GUAUUUUUAAUCUUUUGUUGGAAGCUGCCCAGAGUGGCUGGGGAAACCCAGCCAGAUGGGCGGGGUAUAAUAAUAAUAAUAAUAAUAAUAAUAAUAAUAAUAAUAAUUUAUUAUUUAUACCCUGCCCAUCUGGCUGGGUUUCCCCAGCCACUCUGGGUGACUUCCAACAGAACACCAAAAUA